UACGUAGGUGGCAAGCGUUGUCCGGAAUUAUUGGGCGUAAAGCGCGCGCAGGCGGUUUCUUAAGUCUGAUGUGAAAGCCCACGGCUCAACCGUGGAGGGUCAUUGGAAACUGGGAAACUUGAGUGCAGAAGAGAAGAGCGGAAUUCCACGUGUAGCGGUGAAAUGCGUAGAGAUGUGGGGGAACACCAGUGGCGAAGGCGGCUCUUUGGUCCGUAACUGACGCUGAGGCGCGAAAGCGUGGGGAGCGAACAGG
rnacentral:rRNA from 1 species